rnacentral:lncRNA from 1 species
UGUCCAGAAGCCACCAAAAUAAUCCCACAAAUAUCCGUGAGUUAGAGAAAGGUCACAAACUUGUCCUUGAGAAGUUGUGCAAGAUUGUGCCUGAUAGGUUCAUUUCUGAUCUUCUGACUUGUCUCCUGGUUUUUCUUGGUCCUGCCUCUGUCAUCCGGUGCACAUGUUCAUUAUCAUUAUUUCAGAGAUCAAGAAAUUGAGCCUGAGAGAGUAACUGUCUUUUCC